rnacentral:rRNA from 1 species
CCUACGGGAGGCAGCAGUGAGGAAUAUUGGACAAUGGGCGCAAGCCUGAUCCAGCCAUGCCGCGUGCAGGAUGAAGCAUCUAUGGUGUGUAAACUGCUUUUAUACAGGAAGAAACCCUCCCACGUGUGGGAGAUUGACGGUACUGUAGGAAUAAGGAUCGGCUAACUCCGUGCCAGCAGCCGCGGUAAUACGGAGGAUCCAAGCGUUAUCCGGAAUCAUUGGGUUUAAAGGGUCCGUAGGCGGCCUUAUAAGUCAGUGGUGAAAUCUCCCGGCUCAACCGGGAAAUGGCCAUUGAUACUGUAGGGCUUGAAUUAUUAGGAAGUAACUAGAAUAUGUAGUGUAGCGGUGAAAUGCUUAAAGAUUACAUGGAAUACCAAUUGCGAAGGCAGGUUACUACUAAUGGAUUGACGCUGAUGGACGAAAGCGUGGGUAGCGAACAGGAUUAGAUACCCUGGUAGUCCACGCCGUAAACGAUGGAUACUAGCUGUUGGGCGCGAGUUCAGUGGCUAAGCGAAAGUGAUAAGUAUCCCACCUGGGGAGUACGUUCGCAAGAAUGAAACUCAAAGGAAUUGACGG